rnacentral:lncRNA from 1 species
GGACCUGCCCUAGGAAAUGCCCAAAUCUGAGCUGACAUCCUCGCUUGAGCUGGGGGCACAGGCGGAGUUUUCUGGAGGAAGGGCAUCAGCUCAGCUCUUCACUAGGGUCUGGGAGAGAGCUUUGGGAUCGAGAGUGUUUCACAGGGCAGCAGGGAGCCAAGGGGCUGGGGCUGCCCGUGGGGAGUGUGUGAAUCAAAGGAGCAGACCGCAGCUGGAGCCACCUCGCCUGGAUUCCUGAACGCAGACUCUUGACAGACCGAUUGUGUAACGGCAUUCCUCCCAAGGAAACACGCCUGCCCUUUUCAUUCAGGAUGGAGGCAGAAGAGGUGCUGAGUCUGGAACCCAUGGCUGCUGCGGACGAGGAGCUGGGUGAUGCUUGCCUGGGCACCGUAUCGCUCUCAUCCUGUUUUCUCGCCUGUGAAAUGGGAAUGGCGCUCAUGCUUCUCUGUGGGAUGCUGGGAAAGGAACAUGAGGGCGUCCAUGGAAGUGUUUGAGGCAUGCCUGCUCCAGGGGGAAGCUCCAGAAAUGACACCUAUGAUCUCCCAGCUGUGUUCCCUUUAAGUUAACAAACACUCGUCUGGUCUGGGGCUGGGGUACAGCGAUGAGGAUGACCUGGUCCGAGCCCCAGGAAUGUGGGCCGUAGGAAGGGCAUGGGCAUGAAAGACGUGCUCAGGGGACCCCUUCCAGGUGUCACCAAAGAGCCCUGGGUUGUGGUGUCGGCGG